GCUAGCGGGAGGCUUAAUACAUGCAAGUCGAGGGGUAACAUGACAGACCUAGUUUGUUGAUGACGACCGGCGCACGGGUGAGUAACGCGUACGCGACCUGCCCUUAACUGCGGGAUAGCCCUGGGAAACUGGGAUUAAUACCGCAUGUGUAUAUUGGGAUACAUGUUCUGAUAUAUAAAGCUGAGGCGGUUAAGGAUGGGCGUGCGUCUGAUUAGUUAGUUGGUGAGGUAACGGCUCACCAAGGCGACGAUCAGUAGGGGGCGUGAGAGCGUGGCCCCCCACACGGGUACUGAGACACGGACCCGACUCCUACGGGAGGCAGCAGUAAGGAAUAUUGGGCAAUGGGCGAGAGCCUGACCCAGCCAUCCCGCGUGCAGGAAGACUGCCCUAUGGGUUGUAAACUGCUUUUAUCAGAGAAGAAACGCCUGGAUUUAUUUGGGUCUGACGGUAUCUGAUGAAUAAGCACCGGCUAACUCCGUGCCAGCAGCCGCGGUAAUACGGAGGGUGCAAGCGUUAUCCGGAAUCACUGGGUUUAAAGGGUGCGUAGGCGGUAAGAUAAGUCAGAGGUGAAAGGCUGCAGCUUAACUGUGGGAAUGCCUUUGAUACUGUUUUACUUGAAUGAGGUUGAGGCUGGCGGAAUGCGGCAUGUAGCGGUGAAAUGCAUAGAUAUGCCGUA
rnacentral:rRNA from 1 species